UAAAAUUUUAGAAAUAAUAGACUAACAUUUUGUUAUUUUGCGCAAUUAGCAAAUCUUUAAAAACAACUAAAAUUACAUAUACAUAUAUAAUAUAUAUAAAUAUUAAGAAGAACAAAAUGAUUGCUUAUAAAUGUAAGAAUACCAUUUAUGGAUUUAAAAAAGGUAAUAUAUAUAUAUAUGUAUGCGUAUAUACUGUGGUCGUUUAAAAACAGAAAUAUAAUUGCAUGUUGUGUUUUGAUUGUUUAUUUUUUUUUUUUUUUUGAUUUAUUUAUUUUUAUUUGUUUUUACUUGUUUUUACUAGUUUUUAUUUGUUUUUAUUAGUUUUUAUUUGUUUUUAUCUGUUUUUAUAUGAUUUUGCUUUUUUUUAAUAUAUUUUUUACAGAAUAUGAAUUGUUGAACCCGUGUAAGUAUACAGUAAAAUAUAAAUCGCAUUUUGUAGAUAAACUACAUAUAUAUGAUUCGAAUGGUGAUACUUCCAAAGAUGAAGGGAUAUGGUAUAACAACAGAACAAACCACUUGGAAGAUUGUUUUAAAGGUAUUGAACGCAUUUUUUUUUUUUUUUUUAUAAAAAUUUUGGGGUUUACGAUGAGUCAGAUGUUAGUUGUUGUAUUUAAAAAUAUAUCUUACGUUAAUUUUAAAAAUGGUACAAAUAAUACUUUAGAUAAUACAGUUAAGGAUAGAAGUAGUGUUAAACACAAAAUUUAUUUUAGUUUCUUUAUUGUACUUUUAAAUGGUACGCGAAUGGAUUAUAGCAUGAUUGGAAUGUUUAUCUAUGAAUAUUAUUGUAGCAACGGAGAUUAUUGUAGCAACGGUAAUUAUAGUAACAGUGGAGAUUAUGGCAACAGUGGAGAUUAUGGUAACAGUGGAGAUUAUGGUAACAGUGGAGAUUAUGGUAACAGUGGAGAUUAUGGUAACAGUGGAGAUAAUAAUGACAACAAUGGAGAUUAUGGUAACAGUGGAGAUAAUAAUGACAACAAUGGAGAUAAUGAAAGUAGUGACGAUGAUGAGAACAGUGACGAUGAUGAAAACAGUGACGAUGAUGAGAACAGUGACGAUGAUGAAAACAGUGACGAUGAUGAGAACAGUGACGAUGAUGAAAACAGUGACAAUAAUAAAAAUAGAUACAAUAAAAAUGCCACUAUUAAGGUAAAUAGUAAAGGAAGCAGUAACGGGGAAAAUGGCAGUACGCAACAUGUGUUUAGUCAAAAAUAUAGUAUCGCUGAAAUAAGUAAAAAUGAUUAUAAUAUAAAUGACAAUUAUAGUAAUGAUACGACAAACACUAACAGUACGAUAACUACGAACUGUACUUGCAAUAGUACAAACAAUACUUUAUGCGAACGUAACGACAAAAUAAAUGCAAACUUUAUAAAAGAGAGUGUACUUGGACAUAAUAAUACUAAUGAUGCUAAGAAUGACACUAAUAAUGACACUAAUAAUGAUACUAAUAAUGACACUAAUAAUGAUACUAAUAAUGAUACUAAUAAUGAUACUAAUAAUGAUACUAAUAAUGAUACUAAUAAUGACAUAUCUUUAAAUAAUAUUAGUAUCGUGGAAAAUAACAAAUCAGAGUUUAGAAUGAAUAAAAAUGAAAUUACAAAUGAUAUUAAAACUGAUAUUAAAGCUGAUAUUAAAAAUGAAAUUAAAAUUGAAAAAAGAUAUAACACGCGAGGAUGCACUAAUAAGUUAAUAGGGCAUAUGAAUAAACCGAAUAAUGACGAUAAUGAUAUUUAUAGUAAAUAUAAUAUUUAUGAUUUUUAUUUCACUAAACGUCCUUACAGUAGUAAUCUAAAUGAAGAAAACAAUAUAACUACUAAGAAACCUAGGAAUAGUCAUAAGAUUAAUGAAAAAUCACAAAAAUUAAAUAAUACCAACAAGAAUAAUAAGCAGAACGAGAAUAGUGAUAUCGAUAAGAAAAAUAUUGACAUGAAUUCUGAUGAAAAUAGUGAUAUCAUUAACAGUGAUAAUAAAUCAAACAAUAAUAGUGAGCAUAGUAGUACUGUAAAUAGUAGAGUAAGGAGAGGAAUGAAAAACAAUAUGAAAAAGAGAGGGCGUAAAAGGGGAAGUAAAAAAGUAAAUAAAAGAGCACGUAAUAGUGUGAGUAAUACCCGUAAUAAAAAAAUUGUAAAUAAAAUUAAAAAUAAAACUAUGGUUGAUAUUGUGAGUGAAAUUGAGAGUAACAGUGUAAGUAAAAGCGUAAAUGCCAGUGUAAGUAACAGCGUAAAUGCCAGUGUAAGUCAAAGCAUAACUGACAGUGUAAGUCAAAGCAUAAAUGACAAUGUAAGUCAAAGCGUAAAUGACCGUGUAAGUCAAAGCGUAAAUGACCGUGUAAGUCAAAGCGUAAAUGUCCGUGUAAGUCAAAGCGUAAAUGACAGUGUAAGUCAAAGCGUAAAUGACAGUGUAAGUCAAAGCGUAAAUGACAGUGUAAGUCAAAGCGUAAAUGACAGUGUAAGUCAAAGCGUAAAUGACAGUGUAAGUCAAAGCGUAAAUGACAGUGUAAGUAAAAAAGUUACUACAGUUAGGACCGGACGCAGAAGAUUUUCUAAGUAUUUAUUUGCUACUAUGGAUAUUACACAAAGUAAUUUCAAACCAAGAACAAAAUUUUCGACUAAUGAAGAAUAUUUAGAAUAUAAAAAUGAACGACGUGCGGCUGCAUUGGGUAAUUAUCUAAGGUAUUGCAAUAGAAGAAGAAAAAAAAAAAAAAAAACUACAUAUAGCGAUUCUAAUGAUAAAAGAAAAAAUAAAUUUAAAAAUAUCGAAAAAUACUUAACAUCUGAAGAAGAAGUAACAUCUGAAGAAGAAGUGACAUCUGAAGAAGAAGUAACAGAUAAAAAAAAUCUAACAGCUAAAAAAAAGGUAACAGCUAAAAAAAAGGUAACAGAUAAAAAAAAAGGAACAGAUAAAAAAAAAGGAACAGGUAAAAAAAAUGUAGCAGAUAAAAAAAAUGUAGCAGAUAAAAAAAAUGUAGUAGAUAAAAAAAAUGUAGAAGAUAAAAAAAAUGUAACAGAUAAAAAAAAUGUAACAGAUAAAAAAAAUGUAACUGAUAAAAAAAAUGUAACUGAUAAAAAAAAUAGUAGUAUGAAAUUAAAUAAUAAUGACAAUAUAAACUUUAAAGAAGAAACUAGCAGUUAUAAGAAGUUGAAUAAUAAAAAAAAUGAUAAAUCUAUUUUUAAUAAUAAAGUUGAUAAUGAUAUUUUUAAUGUAAAUAAUAACCUUUUCGGUAUUAAUUUUAAUGCAACUGAUGAAACAAGUGACAGUAACGGAAGCGAUAAUAAAAACGAUAGUAGAAACAAUAAUAGAAAUAGUAAUAGAAAAAAUAAUAGAAACAAUGGUGGAAAUGAUCAUGGAAACGAUAGUGGAAACAAUAAUAGAGACAAUAAUAGAAACAAUAUUAGAAACAAUAGUGGAAACAAUAACGGAAACGAUAACGGAAGCAACAGCAACAAUUGUCAAAUUAAUGAAAAUAGUGUUUCUUUAAAUAAAAGUGACUUCUUAUGCGAUACAAAUAAUUAUGACUCUUAUAAUUCGACUAGUUAUAAUAGUAAUAUUUUUUUUGAUGGUAAUGCUUCUUCUAAUGAGUCAAUAUUUUACAGUAAUCCUUAUAAUGCUGAUCGAGGUCAUAACAACUUAAAUCUUUUUAAUUUUGUUUUAUAUAAUGUUAUUCGUACACAUAAUCAUAAUAACUUUUUGGACAUACCUAAUUAUGUGAAUAGUGGUAAUAACUCAUUUCUAAGUAAUUGUGAUUUGAAUAAUACAUAUCGCACUUAUUAUAAUGACAUGUUGCGCCACCAUAUCAAUAGUCAAAAUAAUUUU
rnacentral:lncRNA from 1 species